rnacentral:rRNA from 1 species
UACGUAGGGGGCUAGUGUUGUCCGGAAUCAUUGGGCGUAAAGAGCGUGUAGGCGGCUCGGUAAGUCCGCUCUGAAAGCCCGGGGCUCAACCCCGGGAGGCGGGCGGAUACUGUCGAGCUAGAGUCCGGAAGAGGCGAGUGGAAUUCCUGGUGUAGCGGUGAAAUGCGCAGAUAUCAGGAGGAACACCAAUAGCGAAGGCAGCUCGCUGGGACGGUACUGACGCUGAGACGCGAAAGCGUGGGGAGCAAACAGG